rnacentral:rRNA from 1 species
AACGAACGCUGGCGGCAGGCUCAAACAUGCAAGUCUAGGGGGUGUGAGCAAUACAUUCACCGGCGGACGGGUGCGUAACACGUGGGAAUAUACCUUUUGGUUCGGAACAACGCAGGGAAACUUGCGCUAAUACCGAAUGUGCCCUUACGGGGAAAGAUUUAUCGCCAAAGGAUUAGCCCGCGUAGGAUUAGCUAGUUGGUGAGGUAAUGGCUCACCAAGGCUCCGAUCCUUAGCUGUUCUGAGAGGAAGAUCAGCCACACUGGGACUGAGACACGGCCCAGACUCCUACGGGAGGCAGCAGUUGGGAAUCUUGGACAAUGGGGGAAACCCUGAUCCAGCCAUGCCGCGUGAGUGAUGAAGGCCUUCGGGUUGUAAAACUCUUUCGACGGGGACGAUAAUGACGGUACCCGUAGAAGAAGCUCCGGCUAACUUCGUGCCAGCAGCCGCGGUAAUACGAAGGGGGCUAGCGUUGUUCGGAAUUACUGGGCGUAAAGCGCGCGCAGGCGGUCUUCCAAGUCAGUGGUGAAAGCCCGGAGCUCAACUCCGGAACUGCCAUUGAAACUGUGAGACUUGAGGACGAGAGAGGUGAGUGGAAUUCCCAGUGUAGAGGUGAAAUUCGUAGAUAUUGGGAAGAACACCGGUGGCGAAGGCGGCUCACUGGCUCGUAUCUGACGCUCAGGCGCGACAGCGUGGGGAUCAAACAGGAUUAGAUACCCUGGUAG